UAGGGAAUCUUCGGCAAUGGGGGCAACCCUGACCGAGCAACGCCGCGUGAGUGAAGAAGGUUUUCGGAUCGUAAAGCUCUGUUGUAAGAGAAGAACGUGUGUGAGAGUGGAAAGUUCACACAGUGACGGUAACUUACCAGAAAGGGACGGCUAACUACGUGCCAGCAGCCGCGGUAAUACGUAGGUCCCGAGCGUUGUCCGGAUUUAUUGGGCUUAAAGCGAGCGCAGGCGGUUUAAUAAGUCUGAAGUUAAAGGCAGUGGCUUAACCAUUGUUCGCUUUGGAAACUGUUAAACUUGAGUGCAGAAGGGGAGAGUGGAAUUCCAUGUGUAGCGGUGAAAUGCGUAGAUAUAUGGAGGAACACCGGUGGCGAAAGCGGCUCUCUGGUCUGUAACUGACGCUGAGGCUCGAAAGCGUGGGGAGCAAACAGGAUUAGAUACCCUGGUAGUCCACGCCGUAAACGAUGAGUGCUAGGUGUUAGGCCCUUUCCGGGGCUUAGUGCCGCAGCUAACGCAUUAAGCACUCCGCCUGGGGAGUACGACCGCAAGGUUG
rnacentral:rRNA from 1 species